rnacentral:rRNA from 1 species
ACGCUGGCGGCGUGCCUAAUACAUGCAAGUAGAACGCUGAAGAGAGGAGCUUGCUCUUCUUGGAUGAGUUGCGAACGGGUGAGUAACGCGUAGGUAACCUGCCUUGUAGCGGGGGAUAACUAUUGGAAACGAUAGCUAAUACCGCAUAACAAUAGGUGACACAUGUCAUUUAUUUGAAAGGGGCAAUUGCUCUACUACAAGAUGGACCUGCGUUGUAUUAGCUAGUAGGUGAGGUAACGGCUCACCUAGGCGACGAUACAUAGCCGACCUGAGAGGGUGAUCGGCCACACUGGGACUGAGACACGGCCCAGACUCCUACGGGAGGCAGCAGUAGGGAAUCUUCGGCAAUGGGGGCAACCCUGACCGAGCAACGCCGCGUGAGUGAAGAAGGUUUUCGGAUCGUAAAGCUCUGUUGUAAGUCAAGAACGAGUGUGAGAGUGGAAAGUUCACACUGUGACGGUAGCUUACCAGAAAGGGACGGCUAACUACGUGCCAGCAGCCGCGGUAAUACGUAGGUCCCGAGCGUUGUCCGGAUUUAUUGGGCGUAAAGCGAGCGCAGGCGGUUUGAUAAGUCUGAAGUUAAAGGCUGUGGCUCAACCAUAGUUCGCUUUGGAAACUGUCAAACUUGAGUGCAGAAGGGGAGAGUGGAAUUCCAUGUGUAGCGGUGAAAUGCGUAGAUAUAUGGAGGAACACCGGUGGCGAAAGCGGCUCUCUGGUCUGUAGCUGACGCUGAGGCUCGAAAGCGUGGGGAGCGAACAGGAUUAGAUACCCUGGUAGUCCACGCCGUAAACGAUGAGUGCUAGGUGUUGGAUCCUUUCCGGGAUUCAGUGCCGCAGCUAACGCAUUAAGCACUCCGCCUGGGGAGUACGACCGCAAGGUUGAAACUCAAAGGAAUUGACGGGGGCCCGCA